UAGGGAAUCUUCCGCAAUGGACGCAAGUCUGACGGAGCAACGCCGCGUGAGUGAAGAAGGAUUUCGGUUCGUAAAACUCUGUUGUUAGAGAAGAACAGCGCAUAGAGUAACUGUUAUGCGUGUGACGGUAUCUAACCAGAAAGGGACGGCUAACUACGUGCCAGCAGCCGCGGUAAUACGCAGGUCCCGAGCGUUGUCCGGAUUUAUUGGGCGUAAAGCGUGCGUAGGCGGUUAGAAAAGUCUGAAGUGAAAGGCAGUGGCUCAACCAUUGUAGGCUUUGGAAACUGUUUAACUUGAGUGCAGAAGGGGAGAGGGGAAUUCCAUGUGUAGCGGUGAAAUGCGUAGUUAUAUGGAGGAACACCGGUGGCGAAAGCGGCUCUCUGGUCUGUAACUGACGCUGAGGCUCGAAAGCGUGGGGAGCGAACAGG
rnacentral:rRNA from 1 species